UAAGCAUAUCAAUAAGCGGAGGAAAAGAAACUAACAAGGAUUCCCCUAGUAACUGCGAGUGAAGCGGGAAAAGCUCAAAUUUAAAAUCUGGCAGUUUAAUAGCUGUCCGAGUUGUAGUCUGGAGAAGUGCUUUCCGUGCUAGACCGUGUACAAGUCCCUUGGAACAGGGCGUCAUAGAGGGUGAGAAUCCCGUCUUUGACACGGACUACUAGUGCUUUGUGAUGCGCUCUCAAAGAGUCGAGUUGUUUGGGAAUGCAGCUCAAAAUGGGUGGUAAAUUCCAUCUAAAGCUAAAUACAGGCGAGAGACCGAUAGCGAACAAGUACCGUGAGGGAAAGAUGAAAAGCACUUUGGAAAGAGAGUUAAACAGUACGUGAAAUUGCUGAAAGGGAAACGCUUGAAGUCAGUCGCGUUGUCCGGAAAUCAGCCUUGCAUUUAUUUGCUUGGUGUAUUUUCUGGUUGACGGGCCAGCAUCGAUUUUAAUCGUUGGAUAAAGGCGAGGGAAAUGUGGCACCUUCGGGUGUGUUAUAGUCCCUUGUCACAUACAACGGUCGGGAUCGAGGAACUCAGCACGCCUUUAUUGGUCGGGGUUCGCCCACGUUUCGUGCUUAGGAUGUUGGCAUAAUGGCUUUAAACGACCCGUCUUGAAACACGGACCAAGGAGUCUAACAUACCUGCGAGUGUUUGGGUGGUAAACCCGAGCGCGUAAUUAAAGUAAUAGUUGAGAUCCCCGUUACAAGGGAGCAUCGACGCCCGGACUUGACCUUCUGUGAUAGCUCUGCGGUAGAGCAUGUAUGUUGGGACCCGAAAGAUGGUGAACUAUGCCUGAAUAGGGUGAAGCCAGAGGAAACUCUGGUGGAGGCUCGUAGCGAUUCUGACGUGCAAAUCGAUCGUCAAAUUUGGGUAUAGGGGCGAAAGACUAAUCGAACCAUCUAGUAGCUGGUUCCUGCC
rnacentral:rRNA from 1 species